rnacentral:misc_RNA from 1 species
AAAGUGCGAUAAGCAAUGCGAAUUGCAGAAUUCCGCGAAUCAUCAGAUCCUUGAACGCAACUGGCGCUAGGAGGCUCUCCUCCUAGCAUGCCUGUUUCAGUGUCUGAAAACAUCACAAUUAACUUAAUGUGGUUGACAGAAGAGAGAUUUCUUAAUAAUCUACUCUAAGUCUCCCAUGAAAGAUGUACGUGUGGGUCUUUGGGCCCCUCAUCGAAUUGGUCACUGUCUCUUUCAGUGAUUUCGAUAGGGAUUGCUUCUAACCAAUUACUCGAAUACACGUAGAAUCAUUACAUCAACUCAAACUCUGCAUCUGAAAUCAGGCAAGAAUACCCGCUGAACUUAA